rnacentral:rRNA from 1 species
GAUGAACGCUGGCGGCGUGCUUAAUACAUGCAAGUCGAGCGAAGCACUUUAACGGAAUUCUUCGGAAGGAAGGUAAAGUGACUGAGCGGCGGACGGGUGAGUAACGCGUGGGUGAUCUGCCCUUCACUUCGGGAUAAGCCUGGGAAACUGGGUCUAAUACCGGAUAGGACCAAUCUUUAGUGUGGUUGGUGGAAAGUUUUUUCGGUGGAGGAUGAGCCCGCGGCCUAUCAGCUUGUUGGUGGGGUAAUGGCCUACCAAGGCGACGACGGGUAGCCGGCCUGAGAGGGUGGACGGCCACAUUGGGACUGAGACACGGCCCAG